GACGAACGCUGGCGGCGUGCUUAACACAUGCAAGUCGAACGGAAAGGCCCUGCUUUUGUGGGGUGCUCGAGUGGCGAACGGGUGAGUAACACGUGAGUAACCUGCCCUUGACUUUGGGAUAACUUCAGGAAACUGGGGCUAAUACCGGAUAGGAGCUCCUGCUGCAUGGUGGGGGUUGGAAAGUUUCGGCGGUUGGGGAUGGACUCGCGGCUUAUCAGCUUGUUGGUGGGGUAGUGGCUUACCAAGGCUUUGACGGGUAGCCGGCCUGAGAGGGUGACCGGCCACAUUGGGCCUGGGAUCCGGCCCGGCCUCCUCCGGGAGGCAGCAGUGGGGAAUAUUGCACAAUGGGCGGAAGCCUGAUGCAGCACCGCCGCGUGCGGGAUGCCGGCCUUCGGGUUGUAACCCGCUUUCGCCUGUGACGAAGCGUGAGUGCCGUUAAUGGGUAAAGAAGCACCGGCUACCUCCGUG
rnacentral:rRNA from 1 species